rnacentral:rRNA from 1 species
UACGUAGGGGGCUAGCGUUGUCCGGAAUCAUUGGGCGUAAAGAGCUCGUAGGCGGUGUGUCGCGUCGGCCGUGAAAACCUGUAGCUUAACUGUGGGCUUGCGGUCGAUACGGGCAUCACUGGAGUUCGGCAGGGGAGACUGGAAUUCCUGGUGUAGCGGUGAAAUGCGCAGAUAUCAGGAGGAACACCGGUGGCGAAGGCGGGUCUCUGGGCCGAUACUGACGCUGAGGAGCGAAAGCGUGGGGAGCGAACAGG